rnacentral:Y_RNA from 1 species
GGCUAGUCCAAAGGUAGUGAGCUAUCUCAACUGAUUGUUCCCAGUCAGUGACAGGGUUACAGAUUUAGGUAGUGAGCUAUCUCAACUGAUUGUUCCCAGUCAGUGACAGGGUUACAGAUUUAAUUCCUUGUUCUACUUUUUCCCCCCUUCUCGCUACUGUACUUGACUAGUCUUAA